rnacentral:misc_RNA from 1 species
ACACCUCAACCCUCAUGGCUUGCCAUGAUGGGCUUGGACUUUGGGGGUCUUGUUGGCCUGUGAGCCAGCUCCCCUUAAAUGAAUUAGCUUGCCAGUGUUUGGUGGCGUCACAGGUGUGAUAACUAUCUACGCUUGUGGUUUCCCACCAGAUAACCUUCAGCGAUGGAGGUUCGCUGGAGCUCAUAAAUGUCUCUCCCCAGUGAGGACAGAUUUUGACC